rnacentral:rRNA from 1 species
AAUCAACGCUGGCGGCGUGCCUCAGACAUGCAAGUCGAACGAUUAAGACUUCCUUCGGGAAGUGUAUAAAGUGGCGCACGGGUGAGUAACACGUAAGUAAUCUACCUUCGAGUGGGGAAUAACAUCGGGAAACCGAUGCUAAUACCGCAUAAUGCAGCGGCAGCGAAAGAUGACAGUUGUUAAAGGAGCAAUUCGCUUGAAGAGGAGCUUGCGGCAGAGUAGCUAGUUGGUAAGGUAAUGGCUUACCAAGGCUACGAUCUGUAUCCGGUCUAAGAGGACGGUCGGACACACUGACACUGAAUAACGGGUCAGACUCCUACGGGAGGCAGCAGUCGGGAAUUUUGGGCAAUGGGCGAAAGCCUGACCCAGCAACGCCGCGUGAGGGAUGAAGUAUUUCGGUAUGUAAACCUCGAAAGAAUGGGAAGAAUAAAUGACGGUACCAUUUAUAAGCUCCGGCUAACUACGUGCCAGCCGCCGCCGUAAUAC